rnacentral:precursor_RNA from 15 species
AUCCACUCCCUAGGAAAUGGAUUUCCUUGGACUUUAACAAGGAGGCCCUUUUACUACUUAAAAAAGUAAGUGCUUCCUUGUUUUAGUAAAAGUGAAUUCAGUUUAUCUACGGGUAGACA